AGAGUUUGAUCCUGGCUCAGAACAAACGCUGGCGGCGUGCCUAAUACAUGCAAGUCGAACGAGGAAAGGCCUUCGGGCCCGGUACUAGUGGCGCACGGGUGAGUAACGCGUGGAUAAUCUGCCCUCGAGUGGGGAAUAACUAGGCGAAAGUCUAGCUAAUACCGCAUAAGACCACAGUCCCUGAGGGGACAGGGGUCAAAGGCUUCGGCCGCUUGAGGAUGAGUCCGCGUAAGAUUAGCUUGAUGGUGAGGUAACGGCUCACCAUGGCUUCGAUCUUUAGCUGGUCUGAGAGGAUGAUCAGUCACACUGGAACUGAGACACGGUCCAGACUCCUACGGGAGGCAGCAGUAAGGAAUAUUGCGCAAUGGGGGAAACCCUGACGCAGCGACGCCGCGUGAGUGAUGAAGGACUUAGGUUUAAACUAUUAUCGGAUAAUACUCGGUAAUACUGACGGUACCCACAAAGGAAGCACCGGCUAACUCCGUGCCAGCAGCCGCGGUAAUACGGAGGGUGCAAGCGUUGUUCGGAAUUAUUGGGCGUAAAGCGCGUGUAGGCGGUUGUCUAAGUCUGAUGUGAAAGCCCGGGGCUCAACCCCGGAAGUGCAUUGGAAACUGGGCAACUUGAGUAUGGGAGAGGAAAGUGGAAUUCCGAGUGUAGGGGUGAAAUCCGUAGAUAUUCGGAGGAACACCAGUGGCGAAGGCGGCUUUCUGGACCAAUACUGACGCUGAGACGCGAAAGCGUGGGGAGCAAACAGGAUUAGAUCCCCUGGUAGUCCACGCCGUAAACGAUGGGUACUAGGUGUCGCGGGUAUUGACCCCUGCGGUGCCGCAGCUAACGCAUUAAGUACCCCGCCUGGGGCUUACGGCCGCAAGGCUAAAACUCAAAGGAAUUGACGGGGGCCAGCACAAGCGGUGGAGCAUGUGGUUUAAUUCGACGCAACGCGAAGAACCUUACCUGGGCUUGACAUCCCGAUCGUACCUUAUGGAAACAUUUGGGUCAGCUUGGCUGGAUCGGUGACAGGUGCUGCUGUCGUCAGCUCGUGUCGUGAGAUGUUGGGUUAAGUCCCGCAACGAGCGCAACCCCUAUCAUUAGUUGCCAGCAUUUAGUUGGGCACUCUAAUGAGACUGCCGGCGUUAAGUCGGAGGAAGGUGGGGAUGACGUCAAGUCCUCAUGGCCUUAAUGUCCAGGGCUACACACGUGCUACAAUGGCGGAUACAGAGGGUUGCGACACCGCGAGGUUUAGCUAAUCCCAGAAAGUCCGUCUAAGUUCGGAUCGAAGUCUGCAACUCGACUUCGUGAAGUUGGAAUCGCUAGUAAUCGUGGAUCAGAAUGCCACGGUGAAUACGUUCCCGGGCCUUGCACACACCG
rnacentral:rRNA from 1 species